UUGUAUCUGGGCUUCAUGUUUUAGGUAUAAACCCACAUAUGUUUCUCCCGUCUGCUUUCAUACGACGCCAUCGCCGUGUCGAUCCAAGUACAGGCCACCGCCUCUUACCAGAAGAGGUGUAACGGUCUACACUUUCAUUCAAUCUCCAUCGUUUACGUUCUUAUUCACUCCAUAAACUUGCAUUCAAUAGCACCUUCACUCUUCCCAGAUGGUUACAAAACUUAUCCUAUAAAAAGGAGGUAAGCUUUGCCAAAAUUCACCAAUCAUCACCUCUCACCCUCAAUCAUCAUAAUACUUUGCUUCAGUAUUGUGAUCUCUUCAUAGAAAUUCUGAUAUAGCUAUAGAGUUUCGAGAUGUUGAUUCGUUUUGUGAAUCUUCCAUCCCGUUUUAUCUUCUUUUCUAUUCAACAAAAGCUUAUCGGGAGAACUAUUCAAGACAAAUCGCGAUGAAUCUGAUGAUGGGCCGUGUCUCGGUUUGUCCGGAUUCAACGCUUAUACGAAUUUCCUACCUCCAACAAGAACGACGCUCUCAUUCAGUGAAUAUCCCGUCAGAGGCCGUGAUUCUCAACUUAUAAAUAGGGGGCCACUGUUCUUCCAUCGUCGAAGUGAGGCUUCUAAGAUUUUGGGAAGCUGGAAAGCUCAAACGCGGUGGGGGAGUUGAUAGGCUGGAUAUACUUCUCCUUGAUGCCAAGGUUUUGCGAUCUUUGACGAUUUCAGUUUCAGUACAUCCUCCUUUCCUUUAAGUCCGUGCAUCUGCAGCUAUAUAUAGGCUAAAUUUCAGAAACAUGGGGCAGAGCAGAGGGAAGAGCAACUGGAAAGUCUCAAUCAUCAUAGGUUUGAAUUUGAAAGGUUCAGCCUUAUGUAAGAGUGGAUAGUCAAUAGGGAGAAGUUAGAACGAGAGUUGGCUAUUUCCUCUCAUGAGAUACUUGCUGCCGGAAGGGUUCACGGUGCACGUUUAUAAUUGGUCAGUGAUCCAUUUCUCCUCUCCGAGUUUUGUCGGACCCAGCGACAACGUCAAUAAAAGGUUAUCGAGAUGGUAAUAUAUCCGGCAGUGAAGCAAUUCAGAGAUCAGAUGAUAUCACCAUCAAGUUGAUGGCAUCAACAGCACAUCCUCUGUUAAGCGUCAGCCAAAGGUCCCAUUGUUGUGAGGAAAGCUUAGUUGUUCUCUUCUCGAAUCAUCUCUUGAAGAACACACAACUUCCUCUGUGUGUUUUCCUCUUCCAAAGGUUUUAUUAGUCAUAAAAAGGAGGGCAACGAUAGAAAGCGGAUGUGGAAAAAAUAAAAGAAAGGCCUUUUUUAUACAAAGGUGAAAUCAAUUCCCUUAAUUCACAACCUCAAGGAUCAGAGAUUCAGACAGUUGCAGUGUAAAAACGCCUUCCUACCGUAAAACAUUGCAGUAUCACAUUCACUGUUUAUCAUUUUUUACUGUUCCUCUUCAAGUGUUUUUCUAGACGGAAGAUAUCAAGUAUAUACCACAGUCUCCACCUGGCCCUCCAAAGGAGAAGGAUACGGCAUUCUACUUGACAUAACUCCAAUAUGAUGAUCUGGAACACUGGUACGAAUAUAAAUAGUGUCUUGUUUUCAUGUCUUCAAUAUCAACUAAUUGAUACUUCGAGUUGGUUUGACACACAGAUGAUGUGGACUCUUCCGAAUAAUUGUAUUUCCACCAGACGUAUUAAAGAUGCUCCGCUUUUUACAUGUGUGAAUAAUUCUUUGGAUAAACUAAGAGAAACUAUAACAAUGAGUCAGAUUGUGAGAGUUCGAGCUUCACACCGAAGGUAUUAUUUACCAUAAUUCCUUCUCAGACUAUGUCCCAGUAUCGUUUGAAAUCAACAUUAUUCUAAAUACGACGUUUAUUCUAAAUAUCUUGAUACCUACGGUACUAUCUUGCUGAGUAGCUCUGCUCUUAAGCUAUACCAUGUCAAGAUUAUUCAUCUAAACAGGUAUGCUUCCUCAGUCAAUAUAAUUAGUCGUGAAUAUAUAUAUAUAUAUAUGACCGCUUUUCUUCAGACAAGAAAAUAGAUUAGCACAGAAUUAACAAGGUGUAGUUUAAUUUAAAAGCCCUUAUCGCUCAUAACCACGAUUUGAUAGUGUUGUUCAAUGAUAAUCUGAGUUUCUACCUUCCUACAGGGUAUGCACGGACCCAGGUUUAAGCUGGGCGAGUAUUGCACAGUUGGAAGAAGAAUAUUAAAAGUAACUGAUGUGGGAUGCAUCAUUUUUCCCAUCAUGCAUUUAUAACAAAGAUCUUAAGCAUAUACCUUCUUCCUAAUGCGAUGUGUAACUUUCAGUUCGCGACACAUUUUCCGUGAGUCUUGGUUUACUAGAUGUAACCCAUGUCGCAGGUAACUCACUGCUGGUCAAAACUCGUGAAAGCCCAACCUCAAAUAUGGAACUGAAGGUUAAAAGAUUGGGUGUAUUAAACCAAGUACACUACGAGAGGUUUGCAUAAGAGAGAGGCUAUUUGGAAAAGACAAUUGGCGGGUCUUCUAAGUUGAGUACUAAUAAAAUCAUUGAUGCAUGUUGAGGUGGGAGUUCUGAAGACCUAUAAAAGAAAAUUCUAAGACUAUUUCUUUUGAAAAUGAAUAGCAAAUAAACCUCUUGAGUUUAUAUAAGACAUUUUGAAAGUUUUUUUUACAAUAGUAUAAAGAUAAAUCCCCAAAUCUCACGUGAU